CAAGUAGGACGCACAGUUUAUACCGUAGCUUGCUACACCAUAGACUGUGAGUUGCGAACGGGUGAGUAACGCGUAGGUAACCUGCCUAUUAGAGGGGGAUAACUAUUGGAAACGAUAGCUAAUACCGCAUAACAGUAUGUAACACAUGUUAGAUGCUUGAAAGAUGCAAUUGCAUCGCUAGUAGAUGGACCUGCGUUGUAUUAGCUAGUAGGUAGGGUAAAGGCCUACCUAGGCAACGAUACAUAGCCGACCUGAGAGGGUGAUCGGCCACACUGGGACUGAGACACGGCCCAGACUCCUACGGGAGGCAGCAGUAGGGAAUCUUCGGCAAUGGGGGGAACCCUGACCGAGCAACGCCGCGUGAGUGAAGAAGGUUUUCGGAUCGUAAAGCUCUGUUGUUAAGGAAGAACGAGUGUGAGAAUGGAAAGUUCGUGCUGUGACGGUACUUAACCAGAAAGGGACGGCUAACUACGUGCCAGCAGCCGCGGUAAUACGUAGGUCCCGAGCGUUGUCCGGAUUUAUUGGGCGUAAAGCGAGCGCAGGCGGUUAGAAAAGUCUGAAGUGAAAGGCAGUG
rnacentral:rRNA from 1 species